CAGAAACGGAGGACAGACUCCGGGCACAACCUGGUCCGGUCCGGGUCUGACCCAGUCCAAGAGUCCUGCAGCGGCUCAGGAGGGUCCCGAAGAGUCCGGACCUCCUGCAGGUUCGAACCCCGGCAGUCAUGUGACCUGAGCAGGUGAACAGGUGACUCACCUGUCCUGUCAGCUGCUGCCCCCUGCAGGUCAGCUCCAUGACUGCAGUCUGACACGAUGAAGACUAAGAAGACAGUGAGGCCGACUGAAAGCUCCAGAACAGACACUUUAUUAUUCAUUAUUAAAAAUCAUCUCAUCUGUUUGGACUGCUGUAAUCUGAUUA